AUGGGGUUCUUUACAUACCUGGAAGCCAGCCAUGCAUCACACGAAGCAUCAAAGGCCGGCGCCAGGUGCGACGAGAGGCUCGUCAUGCAUCGCGUCACCGACGGCGGGUGCUUGGACGACUUCAACAAGGCGAUGGAAGUGUGCCGCGGCGUCUACAGUCCCGAAGCUUCAGAACGCGACAUUCGCCGAGGCAAGGCCAAGCGCGUCGUGGACGUGGAGGCUUGCGUCAAGGCCACGGCGGCGCUGCGCGAGUGCUUCGCCAGCAACCCCAAGCUUUUCAAGCACCAGUACCUCCGCCGCAUCGACGAGGGCCUGGACCAGGACACCAAGCCGUCCGAGUGGCAGAUUUAUCAAGAUGAAAAAGCCAUCUUCAGGUGGUGGACUGACCUGAGGAGAAGCUAA
rnacentral:rRNA from 1 species